rnacentral:lncRNA from 1 species
CAAAAAGCCAUCACUUCUGUUGUCAGCGUUCGUGGCUUGAUGGUGCGUCUCUACAGAAAAAUGUGGCAGCAGAUUCUUCCAGCAGAAGAAGCAGCUCUUUAAGCAAUGUGUGAGUAGACUAAUUGGAGUCAAAGGAAUUGCUAACCAGGGUAAACUGGUAUGAUUAAUCUCGAAUACUUUCCCUCUAAGAAACACCAAUUAAAUGCUCUUAUCUCAGCCUAAUCCCUAGAAGAUGUUUGGCAUCAUCCUUCACAUAACAGCAGUCUCUGAUCAGGGAGGCGUGUGAUUGACAGGGCAGGAGCUGCUGCAGGCCAGGACUGAGCAGAAGAGUCGGAGGUGUGUGUCCCCCGCUGCCAUAGCACUGGAGGCUGCAGAUUAUGACUUGGAGGGCACAUCCGAGUGUUCACAUUCACUCAGAGGGCACGGCUGUACAUGUUCAUUUACUGCACCAUAAUUAUGGCCUGCUGACUUUUUGGAGCUGGGCAAACCUGUGAGAUGCACCAUAAAUGGCAUAAAAAAGCAAGGUUUAUGAACUGCAAAGAAGUAAGGAAGUUUUCCAGGAAACUAUGCAAAACCCCC